UCAAAGAUUAAGCCAUGCAUGUCUCAGUACGAGCCACGAUAAGGUGAAACCGCGAAAGGCUCAUUAAAUCAGUUAUGGUUCCUUAGAUCGUACCCACACUACUUGGAUAACUGUGGUAAUUCUAGAGCUAAUACAUGCAAACAGAGCUCCGACCGGAGACGGGAGGAGUGCUUUUAUUAGAACAAAACCAAUCGGUGGCGGGCUGGCGACUCUGAAUAACUUUACGCUGAUCGCACGGUCUAGCACCG
rnacentral:rRNA from 1 species